AGGGCAGGCUGCAUUUGCCUGGCCUUUCCCUUUCUCUUGCCACCCUCCCACCACCACCACCUCGGUUCUUGGGUUUGCUAAAAGAAAUUCUUUUAGGUAAGUACACAAGUUCCUUAUCUCACUGUAGAUUAAUUAGUGGGUGAUUAACAGCUUCUGGACUAAGUCUUAGGCAUCAGACCAUGAGGGACAUGGGAACGGCCAGUGGUCUCAAAUACUCAAAGCACGCCCAGCAACUGGGGAAGGCCUUAUGACUGGAUUCCAGCUGGUGGCUUAUGCAUGAAGAGUUCCCCUCCACCUUGCUGCCUGACUCCUCCGGGUUCCCUGUUUCCCUCCAGCCUGAAAAGCUGAUGACUCUGGAAGUGUUGGAAGCCACCUGUUGAAAGCAUGAGAGCCUCCACCACUGCUGUCCACUUGGUCUAUGAACCACCAUGUAGCAGAGCCCUGGGUACUCACUGCCCAGGACCAAUAAACAAUUAAUGAUAAAACUGUGCUGGUGGUACAUCAGGGAUGAAGGGAUUGUGGUAGCAGAUGUGGCAAAACUGGAACACACAUCCCAAUGUAUGCCUCUGCCUGCAGCAUUGGCCUGCUGACCUCUGAGCCCUUGGGGCUGCAUGCAGUAAGGUCAGCAUCACUUACAGGAGAGCGU